rnacentral:misc_RNA from 1 species
AAGCGUGCGACGGUUCGGAAAGAAAGAUGUGAAAUCCCAGAGCUAACUUUGAACCGCAUUUAACGUCGAGCCAGAGUGUGUCAGAGGGAGGUGGAAUUCCGCGUGUAGCAGUGAAAUGUUAGAGAGUGGUGGAGGAACACCGACAGAAGGGCAGCUUCCUGGGAUAACACUGACGCUCAUGCACGAAAGCGUGGCAAACAGAUUAGAUACCCCAAGUAGUCCACGCCCUAAACGAUGUCAACUAGCUGGGUUGGGGCUCUCGGGCCUUGGUAGCGCAGCUAACGUGUGAAGUUGACCGCCUGGGGAGUACGACGCAAGAUUAAAACUCAAAGGAAUUGACGGGGACCUGCACAAGCGGUGGAUGAUGUGGAUUAAUUCGAUGCAACGCGAAAACCUUACCUACCCUUGACAUGUCUGGAAUCCCGAAGAGAUUUGGGAGUGCUCGCAAGAGAAUCCGGAAACACAGGUGCUGCAUGGCUGUCGUCAGCUCGUGUCGUGAGAUGUUGGGUUAAGUCCCGCAACGAGCGCAACCUUGUCAUUAGUUGCUACGAAAGGGCACUCUAAUGAGACUGCCGCAGACAAACCGAGGAAGGUGGGGGAUGACGUCAAGUCCCCAUGGCCCUAUGGGUGAGGCUUCACACGUCAUACAAUGGUCGGGACAGAGGGUCGCCAACCCGCGAGGGGGAGCCAAUCCCAGAAACCCGAUCGUGUCCGGAUCGCAGUCCGCAACUCGACUGCGGUGAAGUCGGAAUCACAGUAAUCGCGGAUCAGCAUGUCGCGUGAAUACGUUCCCCGGUCUUGUACACACCGCCCGUCACACCAUGGGAGUGGGUUUUACCAGAAGUAGUUAGCCUAACCGUAAGGGAGGGCGAUUACCACGGUAGGAUUCAUGACUGGGGUGAAGUCAACAAGGUAG